ACGCAAUAGAUACCCGGGUAGUCCACGCCCUAAACGAUGUCUACUAGUUGUCGGGUCUUAAUUGACUUGGUAAACGCAGCUAAACGCGUGAAGUAGACCGCCUGGGGAGUACGGUCGCAAGAUUAAAACUCAAAGGAAUUGACGGGGACCCGCACAAGCGGUGGAUGAUGUGGAUUAAUUCGAUGCAACGCGAAAAACCUUACCUACCCUUGACAUGGAUGGAAUCCCUGAGAGAUUGGGGAGUGCCCGAAAGGGAACCAUUACACAGGUGCUGCAUGGCUGUCGUCAGCUCGUGUCGUGAGAUGUUGGGUUAAGUCCCGCAACGAGCGCAACCCUUGUCAUUAGUUGCUACGAAAGGGGCACUCUAAUGAGACUGCCGGUGACAAACCGGAGGAAGGUGGGGAUGACGUCAAGUCCUCAUGGCCCUUAUGGGUAGGGCUUCACACGUCAUACAAUGGUACAUACAGAGGGCCGCCAACCCGCGAGGGGGAGCUAAUCCCAGAAAGUGUAUCGUAGUCCGGAUUGUAGUCUGCAACUCG
rnacentral:rRNA from 1 species